CCUACAAAGUUGCAGAGGAAGUUUCUCAGGCUGUCAUCCAACUUCCCGCCUUUAAUUUCUGUUGUUUGAUAGAGAAUGACUAAGAAAGCUAGUGACUCAGAAGGCUUGAGCGGCUGUCUGCCGAGCUGGACGGUCAAGGGAGGGAGAUGGGUCGGUGGAAAAAGAAAUCAAGAGAGGAAAGGGAAGAAGCAGAGAGAAGACUCAAAAGCCAGCCCAAAAAUAGACGAUGGGCGAUCCUGGCCUGGUUCCGCAGGCAUCGAGACCCCCGGAGCGCUGCUGCUCCUCCGGCAGGAAGCUCUGGAGGAUUCUCACAGCUGGUCUUGGAGGGCCGCUUCCUGGAAGCCUGUCAGAGCAUCUCAUCCUCAGCAGAGGAAGGGCAGGACCGUGGCUCCCAGUACCAGGUCGUGGCCCAGGGCAUGUGGCAGGUCGUCCAGGAGGCGCUGGAGGGCGGCGGGGGCGGCCGGAAGCUGCAGACGAAGCUCAGGUCGGUGGCAGCCACAGUGGAGUGGGCCCGGGGCGCCUCCCGGGAGCUGGGUGGAGACCUGGCCUCCUGGGACUGCCAGCUGCGGACACGGCUGAGGAAUGACGCUGAGAACUGGGUGCCCCCGAGCCCUGGAGACCGAGUGCCCCUGAGCCCGGGGGACCAGCUGGGCGGGUACCUGGCAGAGCUGGCCAAGGCCGUGGAUCGUGGCCUGGGCCCCCAGAGGGCAGGCCGGCUGGGAGCCCGCCUCUCAGCGACCGACAGAGAGUGCUUCCAGGAGGUGCUCCUGGGCCGCCUCUCCAUGCUCCUGACCCGCAGUGGAGACCGGGACAGCUGCCGGGAGCUCUACACCUGGGCCGGGAAGACCUUGUUUGGGCAGCUGCCGACGACGCCAAGGCCCGCCGCCGCCAGGAAACUCCUGGACCCGCUAAUGUUUGCCACCUGGAUGUCCCAGGUGCAGAGCCGGCUGGUGGAGCUGACCCAGAAAGAGUUGGAAAAGCAACUAGAAAAUGUCCUGACCUGUGAUCAGAAAGAGUGGGCCACCUCUCCCUGCCAGGCGUUCCUCAAAAUCUUCCAGCUGUUGAAAGGAACCAUAGAUUCGGUGCAAGACAUCGGGCCUCCCAUUACCAGCCGGGUUCAAGCCAUGGUUCUGAACACGUUCUCAGAGUUUCUGAAAAGGUACCGGGCUGAGGGUACCGCCCACUUCCUCCAGCAGCAGGCCGGUGCCGGACCCUCCCCCCAGCUGCACGUGCUGCAGAACUGCUGCGUCCUCAGGAAAGUGUGGCAGGAUCUGGGCCAGGCCCAUACUCCCCUGGCGGACUUGGUGCUGAGCACCAUCAGCGCCAUCGAGGACCAGAGCCAGGACGACCUUGUGUCCAGGGUCAGAAGCCUGUGCCAGAGCCUACUGCGGCAUCACUUCGGGAGGGAAGACAAGGAGCUGGCUCACACUCUGCGAUCCCUCCGGCGGGGCCUGGAGCGCUAUGCCGGUCUGCUUCCUCCUCCCACAAACAAGGCCUUGGUCACCCAUCUCAAGAGGCUGAAGCCCCGGAAGUGGGAAGACCACCGGGGUCAGGUGGAAACGGACGUCCGGGAGCUGCGUGAGGCUUUCGGGAGGCAGGAGGGCCUCGGUGAUGGAGCCCCUGGCCUGGAGGCCUUCGUGGAGGUCUUCCAGCUCAGCGGGGAGCAGGGCAGCGCGUGUCUGGAUGAAUGGCUGGCCUCCUUCAGGGACAGGUUCCCAGACUAUGUGAGGUCUGGCUCCUAG
rnacentral:lncRNA from 1 species